GGAAUUUAUAGUCCCAGAAUCAUCGCCUGCACCCUCUUUCUUCUGGCUUUUACGACACAGUAUUUUGAGACUCAUCCAUGUUCCUGUUGUAUUGCUUGCUUGUUCCUUGCCGUUCCUGAGAUUAAGAAACCCACACAGGAAGCUGAGAAACUGCUGGAGUGUCAGAGUCAGAACUUCCAAGAGGAACCAGGAGUACGGGAGGAACAUGAAAGUGGACAAGGAGCGUGACCGUUGAAGCACAGCACCACAGGGAGGGGUUUAGGACUCCGGAUAACUGUGGGCCUGGAUAAUAUCCAGCCUCCCACAAGCAGCUGGUGGAGCAGACUGUUCCCUGACUCUUCCAAGGAAAGGAGACUACCUUUCGCGGUCUGCUAAGUAACAGUCUACAAAAUCAACUGGACCAGCAAAUGGCAAUUGACAGCUGCACAACCUGCAAUUACCUUUAUCCAAUUAAUGCACAAACAAAAAGGAGGAGAUGUUAGACGCCAAAAAGAAUGAGGGUUGUGACCAACUCAGUAUACCACUGGAGGCUAUGUGAGCAAACAGAAAACUGUUCUCAUGAAAGCAGGGUGUUGGAAAACUGACAAACUGCGUCUGCUGCCAGAAGGAUUGCUGAGGGCAGUCGUGCCCCCAGCACAGUGUUCCUUGUGAUUGUCUAUAGGAACGUCUGAAGCCUGUUGUGCCAAGAAAGCAAUUAUGUGCAUCUGUGAUAAAUCAAAUAGCUGACCAACCGUUACCUCUCCCUCCCUGUUCUUUCUAGCUAAUAAGUAUGGAGGGUUAUAGAAGCUCAAGGCUGCCCUUGCUCACUAGAAGCAAGGAGCCCCGGACCCCUUCUUCAAAUAUGCUAUUUUCUCUUUGUCUUUAUUCCUGCAUUCAUCCCCCUUUGUUCAGUCCAACAGGGUCUGCGCCAAAGAAAAGAAACACACAAAUUUGUUCAUUAUUACCAAAUUUUGAAGGGUCUGUUGGAAAGCCCUGUAUAAUCUGUUACAUAGCAAGUGACACUAAAUAACCUCAAAUAUUUUUAUCGUGAUGAAGGUGACAUGAAGUGGUCCUAAUGAUUUUUUUUGCUGGAGACGGAGUCUCGCUCUGUCGCCCAAGCUGGAGUGCAGUGGCGCGAUCUCCACUCACUGCAAGCUCCGCCUCCCGGGUU